UACGUAGGUGGCAAGCGUUGUCCGGAAUCAUUGGGCGUAAAGCGCGUGUAGGCGGCUGGCUAAGUCCGCUCUGAAAGCCCGGGGCUCAACCCCGGGAGGCGGGUGGAUACUGGUCAGCUCGAGUCCGGAAGAGGAGUGUGGAAUUCCUGGUGUAGCGGUGAAAUGCGCAGAUAUCAGGAGGAACACCAAUGGCGAAGGCAGCACUCUGGGACGGUACUGACGCUGAGACGCGAAAGCGUGGGGAGCAAACAGG
rnacentral:rRNA from 1 species